rnacentral:lncRNA from 1 species
CGUAAAAAGAAGUUUAUGAAAGGAUUGAUGCAGAUUAGUGUUGUUUAUUGAUCUGAUAAAGAAAUCUUUCCAAAAAGUCUGUCUUGCUUGAUUAAAUACAGCAGCUAACAAAUUUAGUGCACAAAAAUUCAUAUGCAAGGUACAUUAGUAGAAAUUCAUUUACCUAUUAUCCAAUAUUACACUUUGAUUUUAUAAAUAUUACCACCAGUGGGCAAGAUUAUGUCAAGCCCCUUUCUUCAAAAUCUCUAUUUCAUCUUCCUUAGGGUUUCUUGAUUUUACUGAUAGAGUUCUAAAUGUGGUAACCUGGGAGUAGGGAUGGCGAAUAGGCUCUUGCUUUUCUUCAUGACAAGUCCAAAUCUAUCUGAAAGAUCAACAUUUUCGCCCUCUGGGAGUUUCCAAUCAUAGGAAUGCAGCAAUGAAGCCAAUACUAACAUAAGCAUUUUAUCUGCUAAAGGAAGGCCAGCACAAAUUCUCCUCCCUGACCCAAAUGGAAGGUACUUGAAAUUAUUGCCUGUAUAGUUUAAAUUUGUAGAGUGAUUCAAGAAUCUUUCAGGCUGAAAUUUCAAUGGAUUUUCCCACACUUGAGGAUCCCUAUGAAUUGCAUAAACAUUCAAGAGUACUUUAGUUCCCUUAGGUAUUGUGUAUCCGCCUACUAUUGCAGAUUGGCUUGGGCGCUUAGGGACAAGCAGUGGUAAUGCAGGAUGUAGACGCAAUGUCUCCUUUACAACUGCAUCAAGAUAGUGCAGUUUUGGUAAAUGGGAUUCUUCAACAAUGUUAUUCAUACCUACGACAUUUUUCAGUCCCUUUUGCACCUUUUUCAUUACCUUCGGGUUAUUCAGAAGCUCCUCCAUUACCCAUUCAAUCAUCGUGAUUGUAGUGUCAGUCCCACCAAUCACAAUGUCCUACAAUGCAGAAACAUGUAUGAAGUCAUGGAAAAGGAAUUUAGUCGUUGCCAGUAUUUGAAAUGCCUGCUUCUACCUUCUAUGCGUUCUGUACAAUUGAAGUUCGGAGAGGUUGAUUUCAGGCCAACAGGCAAUUCGGCCGCAAGGGGUUUUGCGCAGUCCGCAUUGGGUUCAUUACGACCGCACUCGAUUUCGUGCGGUCCGCGGAGCCAAGGUUUAGAGAUGUGGUGUUUUGGAGGUUAAAGCUCAAUGCGGUCGUAGGGGGGAUGUGGCAUUCAUGUUUCAGUAUAUAUAUGUGCAUCUUUUUAAGACUAUUCUAACUAAUUAAGUGAUUCAUGCAUUUUGAUUAUGAACUCAAAACACUCUCAUUUUUCUUCACUAUUUAUCACAUUGAUUCUACAUUCAAUAAACAGUGGUGUUCAUGCAAACUUGCAUGUACCUCAACUAAUUUCAUAGGGUUCCGGCUACCUCCCAUCAGUACAGGUACAGGAUAACUCUGCCUACCAUAUCUUAGGCAUAUAGAAAGAAAUCGCCUACUAACAUUUUUUGUCUCUGCUUAGAUUUGAACCGUUGUUUUCAAGGUUUGCACCCACUUCAUUGAUCAAUGACCGCUAGGCCAUACACUCUUGGGUGCUUCAAUAGACAUGAUAAAUAAGUUUGUAUGAUUGUUAAAUCUUUACAUUUAUUUCUCGUAAACUAAAUAAUGGAAUUCUUAGGAUAACCAAUUUUAUGGAGACAAGCAAUGAUAAAAAAAUAGAUACAGACCAUAUAGCUUACCAGCAAGAUGGCCUUUAUUUUCACCAAGUCCAGUGAUAUCCCAAUAUUUUUCUGCUCCAUUAGCUCUAAUAGGAUCUGCACAAAAUCCUUCUUAGCAUUCCCCUGAAUUUUACCAUCUCUUUUGUCCGAAAGCAUCUUUAUGCAUUCGUUUAUGGUCGGGUCCAAUAUACUUUCAACAGACUUCAAGAGAGCCUUCAUCUCUUUCUGUAUUCCUUGUAAAUCAAAUCUGGCAAGCAUAGGGAAGAAGUCUGAUAUGUUUGGCUUUGCCAACAUUUGGAGAAAUUUUAUCACCAAUUCCCUGAACUCAGCUCCAUCUUUUGCAUGCUUCUCCUUCUCCUCUACAAAAUUACUGCCAAAGACCAUACUCAUGAUUACAUUCAUUUGAGUUACAAAAGCCAAUUCGCCAAUGUCAAUGGGGUAGCCAAUCUUGGUAUGCACGUUUCUGAUUGCCUUUCUGAUCUCGUGUUCCCGAAGACUAUGACAAGCCUCAAGGUUCCUGUUGCUUAGCAUCUCCCUCACAAACAGUUUGCGCAUAUCACGCCAGUAGGAGCCAUAGGGAGAAAGUCCAAUAUCUAAUCCACCAUAUGUGGCCAGCAAUCCUGCAAUAGGAGGGUCACGAUUUGCAAAAACGGAGUCUUGAUCACAAACCACUUCUUUGGCUAAGGAUGGUGAAUUCAACACAAUGCAUAGUUUGCUUCCUAGCCAAAACUUGUAUAUUGGACCAUACUGCUGAGACAACUCUGUAAGCUGGUGGUGCAAAUUGGGGUGGAGGAAUGGUAAGAAUCCCACAAUUGGAAGGCCACGAGGCCCUGGUGGCAACCCAGGUUCUGUCUUCUGUGGUAUAUUUGAUGUCCUUUUGUACCAUAUAAUUGUCAGGAACACAAUUGAAAGGGUAAUACCUGCAAGACCAAGCUCGUUUAGAGGUGCUAAAGCCAUGUUUAGUAUAGGGAGAUAGUCUCAGGUCUUCUUCAAAUACCAGUUUUUGAAAGGAAGCCUAUUAUUUAACCUCACAAUGAAAUACUCUUAGUCUUUAUCAGUAGGGAAGAUAGUCUUAGCGCUGCUUCUAAUAUCAACUUCUGUAAGGAAGACAAUUAUCAAUAUAGAAGCUAAGUUUUCCAUCCAUAUAGAUAAGGUAAGUAUGGUUGAAGGCAAAUGCAAUAAUAAUGGAGUACUGACUAUGACUGAUUUGAACUAGCAAAAGGAAAUGUUAAAACACUUUAGAAGAAGGAAACUACCAACAUCAUAUCAAAAGUACAUGUGACGUAACAUAUCAUGUGCAAGGCUGUAACGGAAAGAGGCAUUUUUUACCCUAAAGUAGGACUUUUUGGAGCGGAGAAAUGGUAAAAAUCCCACGAUUGGUAGACCACGAGGCCCUGGUGGCAACCUGAAUUUUUUGUUCUAUGAUAUAUUUGACAGGGAGUUUUGUUUGAGCGGUUCCAAUAACCUAAAAAUGAAAUAGUUUAAUGUUUAUCACUAAAAAGUACAACCCAGUAUAAUCCCACUUAGUGGGGUCUGGGGAGGGUAGUAUGUACGCAGNNNNNNNNNNNNNNNNNNNNNNNNNNNNNNNNNNNNNNNNNNNNNNNNNNNNNNNNNNNNNNNNNNNNNNNNNNNNNNNNNNNNNNNNNNNNNNNNNNNNNNNNNNNNNNNNNNNNNNNNNNNNNNUGUACGCAGACCUUACCCCUACCCUAGGGUAGAGAGGCUGUUUCCAAAUAGACCCCCGGCAUCCUUCCCUCCAAGAACUACCCACCUUUGCUCUUGGGUAGAGAAGCAUGUAAUAUAUAUCCAGUUUUGAUCAAGUCAUGUUCCUGUUUGAUGCGAUAAAGACAUAUUUCAGCUUGUGAGGGUCUUUGUCUUUGAUAAAGACAUCUUUUCAAAAGUCUUCGUCUUGCUUGAUUUAGAUCCUUAGCUAACAAAUUUGGUGAAGAAAAAAUCAUAUACUAUCUUAGGCUCAUGACAUAUGGAGCAAUCUUUAACCAAAAAGUUACCUAUAAAUUUCAAACAGUUUCAGUGUAGCAACUUCAGAAUGAACAAAUGAUUCUGCUUAGAACUUCGAUAUCUCAAUUUCAGGAGCUAGAAAAGUAUCUUUCAUAUUUAUUUGUUUUGGAUUUUCCCCCUUGAAAAUUUUCAGAAGACUCAAAUUUGACCUUUUAGCCAAAUCAUAUACUGUUGAGUUUUAUAAUUUUGGCACUUGCAUUGCAAAUGGAGGUAUCUUUUCCUUUAGCACAAUUUUAGAAUGGCUGAAAAAUACUAUAGAGUUAUGCUCCUUUGAUAUGAUCAUUACAUCAAAAGUACAUAUAUGUUGAAUAUGCAAGGUACAUUAGUUGAACUUCAUUUACCUAUUGUCCAAUAUUACACUUUAAUCAUAUGAUAUCACAACCAGUGGGAAAGAUUAUGUCAAGCCCCUUUCUUCAAAAUCUCUAUUUCAUCUCCUUGUGGUUUCUUGGUUACUGAUAGAGUUCUAAAUGUGGUAACCUGGGUGUAGGUAUGGCGAAUAGGCUCUUGCUUUUCUUAAUGACAAGUCCAAAUCCAUCCGAAAAGUCAACUUUUUCGCCCUCUGGGAGUUUCCAAUCAAAGGAAUGCAGCAAUGAAGUCAAUACAAACAUAAGCACUUUCUCUGCUAAAGGAAGGCCAACACAAAUUCUCCUCCCUGAUCCAAAUGGAAGGUACUUCAUAUUAUUGCCGGAAUAGUUUAAAUUUGUAGAGUGAUUCAAGAACCUUUCAGGCUGAAAUUCCAAUGGAUUUUCCCAAACUUGAGGAUCCCUAUGAAUCGCAUAAACAUUCAAGAAUACUUUAGUUCCCUCAGGUAUUUUGUAUCCACCUACUAUUGCAGAUUUGCUCGGGUGCUUAGGGAUAAGCAGUGGUAAUGCAGGGUGUAAACGUAGAGUCUGCUUUAAAACUGCAUCAAGAUAGUGUAGUUUCAGCAAGUGAGAUUCUUCAACAAUGUUAUUCAUCCCUACAUCAUUUCUCAAUUCUCGUUGCACCUUUGCCAUUAUCUCCGGAUUAUUCAGAAGCUCCGCCAUUACCCAUUCGACUGUUGUAGUUACAGUGUCAGUUCCACCAAUCACAAUAUCCUACAUAGCAAAAACAUAUAUGAAGUCAGGGGAAAGGAACAUAGUCAUCUCAGAAAUUUAGUAGUGUUUGAUUCUAGCUGUAAGGGGACGCGACAUUCAUGUUUAGGUAUGUAUAUGCACCUCUUUUUUUGUAACACCCCUGGCUUUAGAUAGAGUCCCAUAUCGGGAAAACACAAGAGAGAUGCUGGGUAUAUAAGUUAACAAGCCUUAUAAGAGGUGCAUAUACAUACCUAAAGCGGACAAGUCCGCUCUUGGCCUAGACCCUAGUAAGAACUCAAAUGUAUUCUCAUUUUUCUUUAAUUUCUUAUCACACUUAUCCUAUAUACAGUAAACAUGAUUAAGCAGUUUGUAUAAGGCUGUUAAGUUUUCGGAGUUCUCUCUGGUAAAGUAUUAUUAUGGAAUUUUCAAGAUAACCAAGUCCAAAGAGACAAGCUAUGACUUAGAAAAGAUACAAGGACCAUAUAACUUACCACCAGCAUAGCCUUUAUUUUCACCAAGUCCAGUGAUAUCCCAAUGUCUUUCUGCUCCAUUAGCUCUAUUAAGAUCUGCACGAAAUCCUUCUUCCCAUUCACCUGGAUUUCACCUUCUCUUUUGUCCGAAAGCAUCUUCAUGCGUUCGUUUAUUUAUUAUGGAAUUUUCAAGAUAACCAAGUCCAAAGAGACAAGCUAUGACUUAGAAAAGAUACAAGGACCAUAUAACUUACCACCAACAUAGCCUUUAUUUUCACCAAGUCCAGUGAUAUCCCAAUGUCUUUCUGCUCCAUUAGCUCUAUUAAGAUCUGCACGAAAUCCUUCUUCCCAUUCACCUGGAUUUCACCUUCUCUUUUGUCCGAAAGCAUCUUCAUGCGUUCGUUUAUUUAUUAUGGAAUUUUCAAGAUAACCAAGUCCAAAGAGACAAGCUAUGACUUAGAAAAGAUACAAGGACCAUAUAACUUACCACCAACAUAGCCUUUAUUUUCACCAAGUCCAGUGAUAUCCCAAUGUCUUUCUGCUCCAUUAGCUCUAUUAAGAUCUGCACGAAAUCCUUCUUCCCAUUCACCUGGAUUUCACCUUCUCUUUUGUCCGAAAGCAUCUUCAUGCGUUCGUUUAUAGCAGGGUCUAAUAUACUUUCAACCCACUUUGAAAGAUCCUCCAUCUCUUUCUGUAUUCCUUGUAAGUCAAACCUGGCAAGCAUAGGGAAGAAGUCUGAUAUGUUUGGCUUUCCCAACACUUGAAAAACUUUUAUCCCCACUUCCUUAAACUCAGCUGAUCCAUCUUUUCCACGCUUCUCCUUCUCCUCUACAACAUUGCUGCCGAAGAUCAUACACGUGACUACAUUCAUUUGAGUUGUAAAAGCCAAUUCAUCAAUGUCAAUGGGGUUUCUAAUCUUGGUAUGCACCUUUUUGAUUGUCUUUCUGACCUCGUGUGUCCGUAAACCAUAAGAAGCCUCAAGGUUCCUGUUGCUUAGCAUCUCGCUCAUAAACAGUUUGCGCAUAUCACGCCAGUAGGAGCCAUAGGGAGAAAAUCCAAUGUCUACUCCACCAUAUGUGGCUGCCAAUCCUGCUAUUGGAGGGUCACGGUUGGCAAAAACUGGGUCUUGAUCACGAACCACUUCUUUGGCUAAGGAUGGUGAAUUCAACACAACACACAGUUUGCUUCCUAACCAGAACUUGUAUAUUGGACCAUACUGUUGAGACAAUUCUGUAAGUUGAUGGUGCAAAUUGCGGCGGAGAAAUGGUAAAAAUCCCACAAUUGGAAGGCCACGAGGCCCCGGUGGCAACUUGGUACCUUCUUUUCAACAACAACAACAACAACAACUACCCAGUAAUGUCUCACAAAGUGGGGUCUGGGGAGGGUAAUAUGUAGACGAGCCUUACCCCUACCCGAAAGCGCAGAGAGACUGUUUCCAAUCGACCCUCGGCUCAGUGAAGGAGAGGAAUAACAAAAACAAAAACAAAAACAAAAACAAAAGAGCAUUAGUAAGUCUAACAGAAAUAGCAUAAAUAACUAUCUAAACAUAAGAACCAUAAAUAAAAUAGCAUGCAAUAAUNNNNNNNNNNNNNNNNNNNNNNNNNNNNNNNNNNNNNNNNNNNNNNNNNNNNNNNNNNNNNNNNNNNNNNNNNNNNNNNNNNNNNNNNNNNNNNNNNNNNNNNNNNNNNNNNNNNNNNNNNNNNNNNNNNNNNNNNNNNNNNNNNNNNNNNNNNNNNNNNNNNNNNNNNNNNNNNNNNNNNNNNNNNNNNNNNNNNNNNNNNNNNNNNNNNNNNNNNNNNNNNNNNNNNNNNNNNNNNNNNNNNNNNNNNNNNNNNNNNNNNNNNNNNNNNNNNNNNNNNNNNNNNNNNNNNNNNNNNNNNNNNNNNNNNNNNNNNNNNNNNNNNNNNNNNNNNNNNNNNNNNNNNNNNNNNNNNNNNNNNNNNNNNNNNNNNNNNNNNNNNNNNNNNNNNNNNNNNNNNNNNNNNNNNNNNNNNNNNNNNNNNNNNNNNNNNNNNCAGCACUCUGCCCCAUACAACAUUGCAGGUCUAACCACAGCUCUAUAAAAUUUUCCCUUGAGUUUCUGUGGAACUUUCUUGUCACACAGGACUCCUGAUUGAGAUGUUUUUUCUCCAUUUGUACCAUAAAAUUGUCAGGAAUACAAUUCCAAUAGUGAGAGCUCCCAGACCAAGCUGGUUUGAUUGUGCUGAAGCCAUGGUUAUUGGCUAAAUUGUUUCAGCACUUUCUACUUAUAAUGGAUCAGGUCAACAUCCUCCUCAACAUAUUAUUAUUACAGUUAUAUCAGGUCUUGGUUGAAUUAUUGUUCAAUAUGUCACUUUCAGCAACUAGAAUUUGGAUUCUUAGAAAGUUUCCAGAAGACUCAAUAUUUGACCAUAUACUAUUGACUCAGAUAAUCUUGGCGCUGGGACUGCAACCGAAGGUGUCUCCUUUAGCACAAAGUACAGUUUUUCUUUCAGGUCAAAAUUCUCUGCUUCAGGAAGUUCAAACAAUUUAGAAGGGAAGCAUGUUACAUAUCACCAGUCAAAGUUUCCACGCAGCAAUUUAAAUCUCUAUAUUGGUGUCUCGCGCAAUUUUAUUUUAGCAUUUGUAUUUCAAGUAGAAUAUCUUUUUCCACAUUUAAGGGAAUACCACACGCCCUCCGAAAGAAACAAGUACUAAAAUAUAGUGCAGGCAGAGUAUCUAAAGACAAAUAUAGAUUUAGAAGAAGAAAUUGCAACUGAAAACAAUACAAACUUGCAGCCAUAACAAAUUUAAGAAUAGUUGAAUACGGAAAUAUCCUCCUUUUGAUAAUAGCAUUAUAUUAAAUAUAAAUAUUUUAUUUAAAAUGCAAGGUACAUUAGUUGAAGAACAUAUUUAUCGUACAAUAAUACAUAGUAUUGAUCUUAUAAAUACAAUAACCAGUGAGAAAGAUCAUGUCAAGCCCCUUCAUAAACAUCUAUAAAGAUUUUCCUAAUAGCUUCUUGUUUUUAUUGAUAUAGUUCUAAAUUUGAUAACCUGAGAGUAGGGAUAGCAAAUAGCCUCUUACUUUUCUUGACGACAAGUCCAAAUCCAUCUGAAAGGUCAACAUUUUCGCCCUCUGGGAGUUUCCAAUCAAAGGAAUGCAGCAGUGAAGCCAAUAUAAACAUAAGCAUUUUCUCAGCUAAAGGAAGGCCAGCACAAAGUCUCCGCCCUGAUCCAAAUGGAAGGUACUUCAUAUUAUUGCCAGCAUAGUCUAAAUUUGUAGAGUGAGUCAAGAACCUAACAGGCUGGAAUUUCAAUGGAUUUUCCCAUAUUUGAGGAUCUCUAUGAAUUGCAUAAACAUUCAAGAGUACUUUAGUUCCCUCAGGUAUUGUGUAAUCGCCAACAAUGGCAGAUUGGCUUGGGCGCUUAGGGAAAAGCAGUGGUAAUGCAUGGUGUAGACGAAGUGUUUCCUUUACAACUGCAUCAAGAUAGUGUAGUUUUGGUAAAUGGGAUUCUUCAGCAAUGUUAUUCAUCCCUAUGACAUUUUUCAGUUCCUUUUGCACCUUUGCCAUUACAUCCGGGUUAUUCAGAAGCUCCGCCAUUACCCACUCGACCAUAGUGAUUGUAGUGUCAGUCCCACCAAUCACAAUGUCCUACAAUGCAGAAACAUAUAUGAAGUCAUGGAAAAGGAUUUAGUCAUUGCCAGAAUUUGAAAUGCCUGCUUCUAUUCGUGGAAGGGGAGGGUCUGAUACGUUUUGGUAUAUAUAUGUGCGCAUCUUUUUAAGACUAUUCUACCUAACUACGCGAUUUAAGCAUCUUGAUUAAGAACUCAACAAUAUUCUCAUUUUUCUUCACCAUUUAUCAUAUUGAUUCUGCAUUCAGUAAACAUGAUUUUUUUAUUAUGGUGGUGUGCGAGCAAACUUGACGCACCUCGACUAAUUUCAUAGGGUACCAGCUACCUUCAGCCAGCAUAGGUACCAAAUAAUUCGGCCUACCAUGACUUAUGGCAGAUAGGAAGAAAUCACCUACUAAUAUUUUUUUGUCUCUGAUGGGGCUUGAACCCUUGUUUUCAAAGGUUUGCACCCACUUCAUUAACCAACGAUCGCUUGGCCAAACCCUUGGGUGCUCCAGUAGACAUGAUAAAUAAGUUUGUAUGACCGUAAAAUAAUUAGACUGAUUUCUCGUAAACAAAAAAUAAUAGAAUUCUUAGGAUAACAAUGAUAUAAAAAAUAGAUACAAACCAUAUAACAUACCACCAACAUAACCUUUAUUUUCACCAAGUCCAGUGAUAUUCCAAUAUCUUUCUGCUCCAUUAGCUCUAUUAAGAUCUGCACAAAAUCCUUCUUCCCAUUCCCUUGGAAUUCACCCUCUCUUUUGUCCGAAAGCAUCUUCAUGCGUUCGUUUAUGGCAGGGUCUAAUAUACUUUCAACUGACAUCGAAAGAGCCUUCAUCUCUUUCUGUAUUCCUUGUAAGUCAAACCUGGCAAGCAUAGGGAAGAAGUCUGAUAUGUUUGGCUUUGCCAACAUUUGAGUAAAUUUUAUCACCAAUUCCCUGAACUCAUCUCCAUCUUUUGCGUGCUUCUCCUUCUCCUCUACAAAAUUACUGCCAAAGAUCAUACUCAUGACUACAUUCAUUUCAGUUACAAAAGCUAAUUCACCAAUGUCAAUGGGGUAGCCAACCUUGGUAUGCACGUUUCUAAUUGUCUUUCUGACCUCAUGUUCCCGAAGACUAUAACAAGCCUCAAGAUUCCUGUUGCUUAGCAUCUCCCUCACAAACAGUUUGCGCAUAUCACGCCAGUAGGAGCCAUAGGGAGAAAGUCCAAUAUCUAAUCCACCAUAUGUGGCCAGCAAUCCUGCAAUAGGAGGGUCACGAUUUGCAAAAACGGAGUCUUGAUCACAAACCACUUCUUUGGCUAAGGAUGGUGAAUUCAACACAAUGCAGGGUCACGAUUUGCAAAAAUGGAGUCUUGAUCACGAAUCACUUCUUUGGCUAAGGAUGGUGAGUUCAACACAAUGCAUAGUUUGCUUCCUAGCCAAAACUUGUAUAUCGGACCAUACUGCUGAGACAACUCUGUAAGCUGGUGGUGCAAAUUGGGGCGGAGGAAUGGUAAGAAUCCCACAAUUUGAAGGCCACGAGGCCCUGGUGGCAACCUAGGUUCUGUCUUCUGUGGUAUAUUUGAUGUCCUUUUGUACCAUAUAAUUGUCAGGAACACAAUUGAAAGGGUAAUACCUGCAAGACCAAGCUCGUUUAGAGGUGCUAAAGCCAUGUUUAGUAUAGGGAGAUAGUCUCAGGUCUUCUUCAAAUACCAGUUUUUGAAAGGAAGCCUAUUAUUUAACCUCACAAUGAAAUACUCUUAGUCUUUAUCAGUACGUAAGCCAAUUUUUCCAUCCACAUAGAUAAGGCAAGAAUGGUUGAAGGCAAAUGCAAUGUUGGCUACUCAAUAAUAAUGGAGUACUAACAGAUUUGAAGUUUUGAACUGGGGAAAAGGAAAGGUUAAAACACCUUAGAAGAAGGAAACAACCAACAUCACAUCAAAAGAAAGUGACUUUUAAAGCACAUGUAACAUAACAUCGUAAGCAAGGCUGUAAGAAAGUCCUUUCUUAUAGCUAUAGACUAUAGUAGGACCUUUUGAAAGUCAGAAGGCAAACUAGAUGAAUAUCGAUAUACACUACAUCCUUCCCAACCAUGCUGUUGCUUCAAAAACAUAACAAUGGAAAAACUGUUCAUGAUCAGUGUAAGACAAUUAUUCAUUCACAUAGAUAAGGUAUGAACUGUUGAAGGCAAAUGCAAUAUUGACUACUCGGUAAUGAUGCAGUAAUGACUGUGAUUUGGAAACAUGUUUAGAAGGAAACAACCAACAUCAGAUCUGAUAAUGUGACUUUUCCUACAGCAGAAUGCACUAAUGAAAAACAUACCAUGAGUAAGGCUUUGAGUUCAGACAUGGUCAGAGGUAUUUUGGCAUCGGCACCAUCUUUCAAUUUCCUAUAUAGUAGAAUGCACAAAUGACAAAAACAUACCAUGAGUAAGGCUUUGAGUUCAGUCAUGGUAAGAGGCAUUUUGGCAUCGGCUUCAUCUUCAGCUUGAGUAGAACUUGCAAAAAAUCCUUGCUUUCUUGUCCAACACCACUCCCAAUCCCACCAUUUCUAUCCAUUUUCUGUCUCUGAUCAAUCACAGUCUCAAAAAUCCUAUCAAAUCUCUUCACCAAUACCUUCAUCUUCUUUGUUACACCUUGCAAAUCAAACCUGGCCAAGACUGGAUAAAAAUCGGACACAUUCGGAGUACCUAACAACUCAUGAAUCUCAGUCACAACAAGCUUAAACUCUGCACCAAGACUAGAUCUUUCCUCUCCCUUCACUGUACCACCCCAUAACAUACUUGUAAUCACAUUAAGCACAGUCAAAAACAUCUGUUCACCAAUAUUCACUGCUACACCCUUCUGAUUAUAAAAGUAAGUAAUUGUCUUUCUAAGCUCUUUUUUCCUUAGAGCAUAAACAGAAUCUAAAGUAGAACCACUAAACAUAUCAUGAACACAAACUUUCCUCAACAUGCGCCAUUUUGGUCCAUAAGGAGUCCAAACUAUGUCUUUACCACCAUAUGUAACUUCUCUACCAGCAGCAGUCACAUCUCGAUUGGCAAAAAUUGUAUGUUGAUCCUUAAGAACCUCACGAGCUAAAGCAGGAGAAGUAAUAAUAAUCCCAACUUUUUUACCAAGCCAGAGUCUACAAAUGGGGCCAUAAAUUUGGGAAAGAGAUGCAAAGUAAGUGUGAAGUUCAGGAUGAAGAGAGCAAAGAUUACCUACUAAAGGCAAAGCUCUAGGUCCUGGUGGCAAUGGGAGUUGUCCCUUCUUUGACUUAUCGAUCAAAAUCCAAACAAACCAUAGUAAAGCUACAAAUCCAAGAAUAUUGGAUAAAAAGAUACCAUUUUGCUCAAUAUUGGCUCCAUCCAAAUGCCACGGCCAAGAAUCAAAUAGAGGUUUGAAGAACUUGAGAGACAUUAUCUGAGCCUUAGAGGGAAAUGAGAAUAGAAAGAGCAGUGGUGUAGAAAAAUAAAAGAACCAAUGUGAUUGAAAGCUCAAUGCUUUAACUCCACUUAUUCUGAAGACUGAGAUAUUUUGGAUCAAGACAAAUUAGUAGUAGUCCCAUAGGAUGAAAAUGAAUAUAGAUACUUCCCCACUCAUACUGUUACUUUGAAGAAAAAUACAAUAAUGUACUGUUGAUCCCAAAUUGUUUCUUGUUUCUAAAUGGGGACCACUUCUUUCCUUCUACUUUUCUUGUUCGGGAAAAAAAAUGUCAUGUUCUGAGCCGAGGGUCCAUUGGAAACAACCUCUCUGCCCUUUCGGGUAGGUGUAAGGUUCGUCUACAUAUUAUCCUCCCCAGACCCCACUUUGUGGGACUAUACUGGGUAGUUGUUGUUGUUGGAUUGAAUAUGCAGUUUCUCUAAAGAAGCAUGUCAUUCUUAGCGCAUUAAAAUCUCCAUAUGCAUUGUAUAAUAUAGGAUGUGUUUGAUGUUAAAUUUGAUAAAGAUUUGCUUUCAACAAGAUGCCAACCGUAUCUUCUUAAUAGGAAUACUAACUAAACAAGGAAGGGUAUGAAAUCAUUUACAUACUCCAAAUAAAAUGAUACAUGUAUUGAUAUCUCAAAUUCAAUUCAGUGUAUAAAACUGAAGGAGUCAUGGAAUUAGCCAUUUCACAUGGAACAUUAGAACUUUGAGUUGUUCAUAAGACCAUUGCCAACAUAGAGAUGCAUCUUUUAUCUUACUCAAAGAGUGUUGGAUUGGAUAAUCUUGGAGUAGGUAUAGCCACCAGAGGUAUUUUCUUCUUAAAAACAAUCCCAAAUUUCUCUUCAAGGUCUAAUUUCUCUCCUUCAGGCAACUUCCAGUCGAAAGAAUGAAUGAGUGAAGCCAGUGAAUACAUGAACAUUCUCUCUGCCAUGGCUAUCCCCGCACAAAUUCUCCUGCCAGAACCAAAUGGAAAAUAGUUGAAAUCCUUUCCACUAUAGUCCCAAUUAUUGUCCAAAAAUCUCUCCGGAAGGAACUCAGUUGGAUUUUCCCAGAGAGAGGGAUCUCUCUGUAUAGCCCAUACAUUUAUGAAAACGCGAGCUCCUUUAGGAACAGUAUAUCCUCCGACAGUGACUGUCUCACUAGGACAAUGAGGCACCAAGAGUGGGAGAGCUGGAUGCAUGCGCAAGGCUUCUUUCAUAACUGCAUAGAGAUAUGGUAAAUGCUGAAUAUGAGACUCUUCCACUAUGUUAUCUUUGCCCACAACAGUCUCUAGUUCCU